rnacentral:rRNA from 1 species
AUUGAACGCUGGCGGCAGGCCUAACACAUGCAAGUCGAGCGAGCGGCGGACGGGUGAGUAAUGUAUGGGGACUGCCCGAUAGAGGGGGAUAACUACUGGAAACGGUGGCUAAUACCGCAUACUAACGGAUAACACAUAUGGGAUUAGCUAGGAGGUGGGGGAAAGGCUCACCUAGGCGACGAUCUCUAGCUGGUCUGAGUGGAUGAGCAGCCCCACUGGGACUGGGAAACGGCCCAGACUCCUACGGAGGCAGCAGUGGGGAAUAUUGCACAAUGGGCGCAAGCCUGAUGCAGCCAUGCCGCGUGUAUGAAGAAGGCCUUAGGGUUGUAAAGUACUUUCAGCGGGGAGUCGUUGCCCGCCGAGGAAGCACCGGCUAACUCCGUGCCGGCAGCCGCGGUAAUAC